rnacentral:rRNA from 1 species
CAAAUUUUGAUCUGAAAUCAGGUAGGGCUACCCGCUGAACUUAAGCAUAUCAAUAAGCGGAGGAAAAGAAACUAACAAGGAUUCCCCUAGUAACGGCGAGUGAAGCGGGAAGAGCUCAAAUUUAAAAUCUAGUUUGCUUGCAAACUCGAGUUGUAGUCUGAAGAAACGUUUUCCAUGAAAGCUGAGGCACAAGUCCUUUGGAACAGGGCAUCAUAGAGGGUGAGAAUCCCGUCCAUGGUCUCAAGUMUUUCAUUUUGUGAUACGUUUUCUAAGAGUCAGGUUGUUUGGGAAUGCAGCCUAAAAUGGGUGGUAAAUUUCAUCUAAAGCUAAAUAUUGGCGAGAGACCGAUAGCGAACAAGUACCGUGAGGGAAAGAUGAAAAGAACUUUGAAAAGAGAGUUAAAAAGUACGUGAAAUUGUUGAAAGGGAACCGUUUGAAGCCAGUCUUGUUUUUUUGUGAUCAGUCUCAGCUUUGGCUGGGAUGCACUCUCAAUUUUACAGGUCAACGUCAGUUUGAGAAGUGGGAAAAAAAUUUGAGGAAUGUGGCCUUCGGGUGUUAAUAGCCUCUUAUUAAAUACCAUUUCUUGGACUGAGGCUCGCAGCAAAAAUCUUGGCAGACUUGCUUCUGAGGUGAACCAUUACUAAGACAGCUUGCUGACUUAGUUUUGUCUAGCUUCACAGUAAGUUUCGCUUCUAAUUUGCUUAGGUCGUUGACAUAAUGGCUUUAAAUGACCCGUCUUGAAACACGGACCAAGGAGUCUAACAUAUAUGCGAGUAUUUGGGUGACAAACCCACAUGCGCAAUGAAAGUGAAAUUAGGUGCCAAACUCUUACGAGUGGCAGCAUCGGCCGGCUCUGACGUUUUAACUGACGAGUCUGAGCAGAAGCAUACAUGUUGGGACCCGAAAGAUGGUGAACUAUGCCUGAAUAGGGUGAAGCCAGAGGAAACUCUGGUGGAGGCUCGUAGCGAUUCUGACGUGCAAAUCGAUCGUCAAAUUUGGGUAUAGGGGCGAAAGACUAAUCGACCAUCAGGGCCC